rnacentral:rRNA from 1 species
UAAGUUGGUAGUGAAAUCGUCCCGCUCAACGGGAUACCCAUUAUCAAAACUGCUCAGCUAGAGCAUAGAAGAGGUAGCUGGAAUUUCUAGUGUAGGAGUGAAAUCCGUAGAUAUUAGAAGGAACACCGAUGGCGUAGGCAGGCUACUGGUCUAUUGCUGACACUAAGGCACGAAAGCGUGGGGAGCGAACUGGAUUAGAUACCCAGGUAGUCCACGCCGUAAACGAUGGAUGCUA